rnacentral:rRNA from 1 species
GGGUGAGUAAUGCCUAGGAAUCUGCCUAGUAGUGGGGGAUAACUUGCCGAAAGGUAAGCUAAUACCGCAUACGUCCUACGGGAGAAAGCAGGGGACUCUUCGGAGCCUUGCGCUAUUAGAUGAGCCUAGGUCGGAUUAGUUAGUUGGUGAGGUAAUGGCUCACCGAGACUGCGAUCCGUAACUGGUCUGAGAGGAUGAUCAGUCACACUGGAACUGAGACACGGUCCAGACUCCUACGGGAGGCAGCAGUGGGGAAUAUUGGACAAUGGGGGCAACCCUGAUCCAGCCAUGCCGCGUGUGUGAAGAAGGUCUUAGGAUUGUAAAGCACUUUAAGUUGGGAGGAAGAGCAGUUAACUAAUAUCUGACUGUUUUGACGUUACCGACAGAAUAAGCACCGGCUAACUUCGUGCCAGCAGCCGCGGUAAUACGAAGGGUGCAGGCGUUAAUCGGAAUUACUGGGCGUAAAGCGCGCGUAGGCGGUUCGUUAAGUUAGGAGUGAAAGCCCCGGGCUCAACCUGGGAAUUGCUUCUAAAACUGGCGAGCUAGAGUAUGGUAGAGGGUGGCGGAAUUUCCUGUGUAGCGGUGAAAUGCGUAGAUAUAGGAAGGAACAUCAGUGGCGAAGGCGACCACCUGGACUGAUACUGACACUGAGGUGCGAAAGCGUGGGGAGCAAACAUGAUUAGAUACCCUGGUAGUCCACGCCGUAAACGAUGUCAACUAGUUGUUGGGUUCCUUGAGGACUUAGUAACGCAGCUAACGCAUUAAGUUGACCGCCUGGGGAGUACGGCCGCAAGGUUAAAACUCAAAUGAA